ACUGCAUGGAUCUACAUAUGUGGAGUUGAACAAUCUUUUUUUAAUUUUUAGAUUUUUCCAUAAAUUACUAUAACAUUUACAGAACAAACACUUUGCAUCUAGGCCUAUGUACUUUCUUUAUUCUCAACGUGCUUUGAUAUAUACAGGAGAUUUUACAUUGGAAACUCUAGAAAAGCUCCUAUUUUGUUUUCUAGGUAUAGAUAAGAAAGGAUGGAAGAAAAAAGUAGAAAGAAAAAGUCACGUACAUACCUCACACAGGGAAGUGGAAAUGAAAAAAGAAAAAAAAUUGGAAAAGACCGAUGAAAACGUCUUUCAUAGAUAAAAAUGAGAUUGGAAAUUUUUUUAGCUGAUGGCCAAGAUCAAGUUAAUUUAUGAUUAUAGGUUGAAUGAAAGUUUAAGAUGGAGUGAAAUUUUGUCUCUUUAUUAUUAGAAGAAUAUAGAUGCGGAUUUACAUAUUGUAGUGGAUUCUCAAAGAAGUCAUCGAGCU
rnacentral:lncRNA from 1 species